GUGAUUGUGUUUACAACAUGUGCAUUUGGGCUUAGGUAUUGGAUCAGACAGGUUAAAGUUGUUUUUUUGUUUUGGAUGUUUGAUCCUGAAAUUUUGACCAACACCAGACCAAUACAGAAACCAUUGCCGGCAAUGGAAAUGACUGUUCAUUUCUUAUGUACGUUCUAGUUCAUUAGGCAGAGCAUGUGUGGAACAAUUAGUGACAUCUCAUGGUGAUUUUUGUUUUUAAACCUAACCUUAAAUAACACGCUUUCAUUCAAACCACUACUUUUUUUUUCUUUUCUUCUCUUUGAUUAUUUAGUUUUUAACAAGGUUUCGAGACCUUUCACCUCAUGCAACCUGGCAAAGGACGAACAACUGCCCAAAUCAGAAUUUCAGGGUCUGUGACGGUUGGUCGUCUGUAAAGAGGGAAACACUGGAGUUUAGGAGACGCUGCCUGUGACCAUCCACUGCUCCUGGGACCAAGAGGGCAGAACGUUGAGUUGGUCCACAGAGGUCAGCUGGGAAAAGCUGUGGGAACAUCUGCUGCCUGACAUAGUAAGUUUCCUUUUUUAGCAGAAUCUACCACUGAAGGACACACACAGGCCUUUUGCCAACAGAGACCACGGGAACUAGCCUUCGUCUGAUGAAGGUCUUCCUCCCACCACCAGUCUUUUAAAACGACGGUGCUGUGUGCUGACAUUGAGAAGGAUUUCAAAAAUAGAACUUAAACCUCUCUCUUUCUCUCUCUCUCUCUCUCUCUCUCCAUGUGCAGAGUGUGAGUCACUGUCAGGUUUUCAUAGUAGAAACAGAAGUAGCCAGAAUACAUAUUUUUAUUAGACAGAGAAAAUACUGUUCAGAAGAAUUAGGGAAACACCAAAAAUAAUCUUCUGUCACACGAACUUCUGUUUUACGGGAAGGUCACGAGUACAACGAGGAGAAACGUUUCCAAGCCGGAACUGCAGUACCUGCUCGAGGAACCAGAACAUUUUAUGAACCAUACUUGUAUGACAGGUGCUUGUAGAGACAGGUGGCGCUGUAGUAAGGUGGUCCUUAUUUUGUUAGGCAACAGGAAAAUCAUCAAACAUGA